GACGAACGCUGGCGGCGUGCCUAACACAUGCAAGUCGAGCGAAGUGAGUACUACGGUACGAACUUAGCGGCGGACGGGUGAGUAACGCGUGGACAAUCUACCCUGUAGACUGGGAUAACACCUCGAAAGGGGUGCUAAUACCGGAUAAUGUCGAGAAGCGGCAUCGCUUUUCGAAGAAAGGAGAGAAUCCGCUAUAGGAGGAGUCCGCGUCCCAUUAGCGAGUUGAUGAGGGUAACGGCCCACCAAGGGGACGACGGGUAGCCGGCCUGAGAGGGUGACCGGCCAGACUGGAACUGAGACACGGUCCAGACUCCUACGGGAGGCAGCAGUGGGGAAUAUUGUGCAAUGGGGGAAACCCUGACACAGCAACGCCGCGUGAGCGAAGAAGGCCUUCGGGUUGUAAAGCUCAAUAGUAUGGGAAGAUAAUGACGGUACCAUACGAAAGCCCCGGCUAACUACGUGCCAGCCGCCGCCGUAACAC
rnacentral:rRNA from 1 species